AUUGAACGCUGGCGGCAGGCCUAACACAUGCAAGUCGAGCGGAUGAGUGGAGCUUGCUCCAUGAUUCAGCGGCGGACGGGUGAGUAAUGCCUAGGAAUCUGCCUGGUAGUGGGGGACAACGUUUCGAAAGGAACGCUAAUACCGCAUACGUCCUACGGGAGAAAGCAGGGGACCUUCGGGCCUUGCGCUAUCAGAUGAGCCUAGGUCGGAUUAGCUAGUUGGUGAGGUAAAGGCUCACCAAGGCGACGAUCCGUAACUGGUCUGAGAGGAUGAUCAGUCACACUGGAACUGAGACACGGUCCAGACUCCUACGGGAGGCAGCAGUGGGGAAUAUUGGACAAUGGGCGAAAGCCUGAUCCAGCCAUGCCGCGUGUGUGAAGAAGGUCUUCGGAUUGUAAAGCACUUUAAGUUGGGAGGAAGGGUUGUAGAUUAAUACUCUGCAAUUUUGACGUUACCGACAGAAUAAGCACCGGCUAACUCUGUGCCAGCCGCCGCAGUAA
rnacentral:rRNA from 1 species